GACGAACGCUGGCGGCGUGCUUAACACAUGCAAGUCGAACGUGAUUUUUGUGGAAAUUCUUUCGGGAAUGGAAAUGAAAUGAAAGUGGCGAACGGGUGAGUAACACGUGAGCAACCUACCUUACACAGGGGGAUAGCCGUUGGAAACGACGAUUAAUACCGCAUGAGACCACAGAAUCGCAUGAUAUAGGGGUCAAAGAUUUAUCGGUGUAAGAAGGGCUCGCGUCUGAUUAGCUAGUUGGAAGGGUAAAGGCCUGCCAAGGCGACGAUCAGUAGCCGGUCGGAGAGGAUGAACGGCCACAUUGGAACUGAGACACGGUCCACACUCCUACGGGAGGCAGCAGUAGGGAAUAUUGCACAAUGGGGGGAACCCUGAUGCAGCGACGCCGGGUAAGCGAAGAAGGUUUUCGAAUCGUAAAGCUGCGUGCUAUGAGAAGAUAAUGACGGUACCAUAGGAGGAAGCCCCGGCUAAAUACGUG
rnacentral:rRNA from 1 species